GACGAACGCUGGCGGCGUGCUUAACACAUGCAAGUCGAACGGUAAGGCCCUGCUGGAUCAGUGGCGAACGGGUGAGUAACACGUGAGCAAUCUGCCCCUGACUCUGGGAUAAGCGCUGGAAACGGCGUCUAAUACCGGAUACGAGCUGCGAAGGCAUCUUCAGCAGCUGGAAAGAACUUCGGUCAGGGAUGAGCUCGCGGCCUAUCAGCUAGUUGGUGAGGUAACGGCUCACCAAGGCGUCGACGGUUAGCCGGCCUGCGAGGGUGACCGGCCACACUGGGACUGAGACACGGCCCAGACUCCUACGGGAGGCAGCAGUGGGGAAUAUUGCACAAUGGGCGAAAGCCUGAUGCAGCAACGCCGCGUGAGGGACGACGGCCUUCGGGUUGUAAACCUCUUUUAGCAGGGAAGAAGCGAAAGUGACGGUACCUGCAGAAAAAGCGCCGGCUAACUACGUGCCAGCCGCCGCUGUAA
rnacentral:rRNA from 1 species